UACGGAGGAUCCGAGCGUUAUCCGGAUUUAUUGGGUUUAAAGGGUGCGUAGGCGGCCUUGUAAGUCAGGGGUGAAAGACGGUAGCUUAACUAUCGCAGUGCCUUUGAUACUGCAGGGCUUGAAUGGACUAGAGGUAGGCGGAAUGUGACAAGUAGCGGUGAAAUGCAUAGAUAUGUCACAGAACACCAAUUGCGAAGGCAGCUUACUAUGGUUUUAUUGACGCUGAGGCACGAAAGCGUGGGGAUCAAACAGG
rnacentral:rRNA from 1 species